rnacentral:lncRNA from 1 species
UCCGUGUUUCUGCCUGCAGCCUUGACUAAAAGCAUUAAUAAUGUCUUUACUAGAGCUAUUAUCCACAUGGCUUAAGUGCCUUGUUUGUAUGUGUGUGUGUAUGUCUGUGUAUGGUUUAAGCUCCUUGGGCAAGGUCUGGCAUAUGGGCAAAAGAACGUGCUGAAGAAAUCACUCCUUGCUUUCAAGGGACUUACAAUUUAAAGGACUUUUUCUUUUUAAACAACUCUGGUGUUACUUUGAAGGUUGUACACUGUAAAUCAUUUUUUAAUGGAAAAGAUUUUCAAGUAAUUGAUCCUGUCUUUUCUGCCUGAAGUGUGCUUAAGCUGAUAAUGUCCAUGAUUUUGUUUGUGUUCAGAUUUCAUAUUCUGCCUCAUUUAAAGCCAUCAAUGAGCAAGUGACAAAUGGCAGAUAAAAUCGCCAAAUAUGAUAUUCUUUAAACAUUAAGUUUCAGUUUUGUUUCCUCUCCAGUGAAUUAUCAUAAGCAUUUUGUUUUGGUUUUCUUCAUCAAACCAUUUGGGUUCCCCGGAUAAUUCUCCUGACCACAUGAUCAAAUUUGAUUAAGUCCAGAUUACUUGGCCAUUAUUCUUCAAUUCUGCUAAUCAACCACUGUUUUGAUUUUUCAGAUUUAUAUGCAAGUUGAAGUUCAGCUACAAAAAGAUACCAAUUAUUUGAAAAUUAUGCAGUCUUGGAACAGGAAUCAAGGAGGUCUGCAUUCCCUGUGUGUGUAUCAGUUGAUUUCUUGCUCUAUUUUACUGUCACAAGAACUCUGGCUCAUAUGAUCAACAUCAAAGUCAUCAUCAUCAUCGUCAUCAUCCUCCUUGUCAUCAUCAUCAUUGUAACCCACACCACUCUUCUGUUAUGAAAACAUGUAUUUUACCAUAAUGGAUCAUCUUCAUCCAUGCGUAAGUAAUCUGAUGAUACACUUUUGACCUCCUGCAAAACUUCCAAAUCUGAUUUUUCAUGUACUGAAUUGGGCUACUUGUACCAGAAAAGUCAAAAGGAAUCUAAAAACAAAACAAAACAACAACAACAACAAAAAUCCUAGAAUGGUGUGGGCGCAUUAGACCCUCUGUGAUGCUCAAAUAAACAUAAACAAAAUCUGUUAGAUGGAGCAUCGUGUGGGUGAAAAUCCUCAUUUGACACUUUUGCCCACAUGCAUACACCUUGCCUUUCACCACACCAAGUGGGUAAACAAAAGGAUUGCUUCCUGUAUCCACCAAGCAGAGUUACAGGGUUGUACAGCC